rfam:Gasterosteus aculeatus cont1.009073, whole genome shotgun sequence.
GUCUCUGUGGUGCAAUUGGUCAGCGCGUUCGGCUGUUAACCGAAAGGUUGGUGGUUCAAGCCCACCCAGGGACG